CACGAAAUAGUACGAGCUAAGUGUUGUAUACAAUAGUAUUAAAGUGUUGCAGAACAUACCAAAACAACCCUUAGGGGUGAUAGGCCUCACAAGUAUUAUGAUAUCUUGUUUCCUUUUAAACUUAUUUAGUAAAAAAACAGAUCGAGAGUGCUAACAUUUUCGAUAAAGAUGAACCUUUGAGUUAAUAGAUUAUCUAGUGUAAAAGCACAUAAGUAAUAGACUAUAAUAUUAGUUUAUGUUCAUUGUUACAACUAGGGGGAAAGUAUUUAAACGUAUGUUGAUAUUUAUAAUGUUAAUAUUAGUAGUUAUAGAAGGUGUAUCAAAUGAACUCGGCUAAAAUUUCUCGACUGUUUAUCAAAAACAUAGCUAAAUGUCAUUAUAUUUGGUGUUUUCUGCUCAAUGAUAUAAUUAAAUAGCCGCAGUACCUUGACUGUGCAAAGGUAGCAUAAUCAAUUGGCUUAUAAUUGAAGUCUGGAAUGAAAGGAUAUACGGGUAAUUACUGUAUCUGAUAUUUAUACUGAAAUUGAUCUCCAAGUGCAAAUACUUGCAAUUAAUUGUUAGACGAGAAGACCCUAGAAAUUUGUGUAAAUGUUUAGUUGGGGCAACGUGGUAAGAAAUAACUUACAAUAAGGACAUGAAAAAUGAUUUGAAAGAAAAAAUUACUCUAGGGAUAACAGCAUAAUUUAUUAAAGUUUGUGACCUCGAUGUUGGAUUUGGGAAUUAUAGUCCAGAA
rnacentral:rRNA from 1 species